rnacentral:lncRNA from 1 species
ACAAAUCUACAAUUUAUCGGAUCCCAACAAACACCAUAAUAAUUACAUCGAAUCGAUCUCGGAGAAGAAUACGAUAUUGAAGAUCCAAAAGAGAGAUAGAAAAGACAUCAAACUACUGCUAUGGACCCGUAGGUCCUAAAGGAACUACUCAAAUAUCAUCAUGCAUGCAACAAGGUUGAUGAAUACAUCCCCUCGAGUGGCUUCCCCCCGGCAAGACUCCGGAACAUGGCACUAGAUGGGAUCUCUUUGGAACAGAGGCUUGCGACGGCGAUAAAAUUCUC